AUCUUCCGCAAUGGGCGAAAGCCUGACGGAGCAACGCCGCGUGAGUGAUGAAGGGUUUCGGCUCGUAAAACUCUGUUAUUAGGGAAGAACAAAUGUGUAAGUAACUGUGCACAUCUUGACGGUACCUAAUCAGAAAGCCACGGCUAACUACGUGCCAGCAGCCGCGGUAAUACGUAGGUGGCAAGCGUUAUCCGGAAUUAUUGGGCGUAAAGAGCGCGUAGGCGGUUUCAUAAGACUGAUGUGAAGGCCCACGGCUCAACCGUGGAGGGUCAUUGGAGACUGGGAAACUUGAGUGCAGAAGAGGAGAGUGGAAUUCCAUGUGUAGCGGUGAAAUGCGCAGAGAUAUGGGGGAGCACCAGUGGCGAAGGCGACUUUCUGGUCUGUAACUGACGCUGAUGUGCGAAAGCGUGGGGAUCAAACA
rnacentral:rRNA from 1 species